AGAAGGAGAACUCCGCUCACUCUGAAGAUCAGGGAACAUCUGGCCUUGUAGGGUGAAUUCCAUUGAAUAACAACGUGUUCCUUUGAAAAAAGAUACUUUCUCCCCGUAGAAGAGGGAGGAUUUUAAGGCCUGUCUACACUAGCAUGGUUGGCGUUCUAAUUAAAGAAAAGGGCAGGUAGAAAAGAGAGGAAACGGAACAAGAUCCCAUCUUCUCAACAUAUGGAAAUUAAGAUGAAAGGCAUUCAUCCUGUGGGGGGGAAGCUUGAUUUAUUUCAGGUUUUACCAGGGAGGCUGUAGAACUAAGGUCAGGAGACAACAGGUUUAUUCACUGUUGACACACGGGUAGGUACCGGUGCACUAACUGUAAGCGGGGUACCAAUCUGACCUUCAAUUAGACGUCUUCACAGCACUCUUCAAAUUAAUCCCCCUACAAGCAAAAUAAAAGGACUCCCCUUA